AACGUAGGUGGCAAGCGUUAUCCGGAAUUACUGGGCGUAAAGGGUGCGUAGGCGGCGCGGUAAGUCGGGUGUGAAAUCUCGGAGCUUAACUCCGAAACUGCAUUCGAUACUGCCGUGCUUGAGGACUGGAGAGGAGACUGGAAUUUACGGUGUAGCGGUGAAAUGCGUAGAUAUCGUAAGGAAGACCAGUGGCGAAGGCGGGUCUCUGGACAGUUCCUGACGCUGAGGCACGAAGGCCAGGGGAGCAAACGGG
rnacentral:rRNA from 1 species